AGAAGGAGUUUACUGUGUUUCCCAGAUUGCCCUAGUAUAUACAGCGAAGUCCUGCGUCAAAGUCGAAUUCAAAAUGGGUUCGGUUGCUCGUCUCGACUUCUCUCAAACUCCAAAA
rnacentral:rRNA from 1 species